rnacentral:lncRNA from 1 species
UGUGUGUGUGCCGCUUAUGCAAGCAUUUUCAUGCUUCCCCAUAUCUCAUGUGCACUCUUCGUUCCUUGUCGAUUUGGCUUGGCAUCCUUCCACUGUUUGCGUGUUUUGUGCCACGAACUUGAUGAUGCACUCCGCGUUCCCUUGUUGGGCGUCCGUGGCCUUGGCGACAGGUAGCGACGUGCUCUUUGUUAAGCUUCAUGCACUAGCCAACGCAACCAAAAGUCCGAACUGAUGGAAAGGGCUAGUGCAAUCCACAUAUACUGUAACACCCUCUCUC